rnacentral:rRNA from 1 species
CACCAAGCCUUCGAUGGAUAGGGGUUCUGAGAGGAAGGUCCCCCACAUUGGAACUGAGACACGGUCCAAACUCCUACGGGAGGCAGCAGUGAGGAAUAUUGGUCAAUGGGCGUUAGCCUGAACCAGCCAAGUAGCGUGAAGGAUGAAGGCUCUAUGGGUCGUAAACUUCUUUUAUAUAAGAAUAAAGUGCAGUAUGUAUACUGUUUUGUAUGUAUUAUAUGAAUAAGGAUCGGCUAACUCCGUGCCAGCAGCCGCGGUAAUACGGAGGAUCCGAGCGUUAUCCGGAUUUAUUGGGUUUAAAGGGAGCGUAGGUGGACUGGUAAGUCAGUUGUGAAAGUUUGCGGCUCAACCGUAAAAUUGCAGUUGAUACUGUCAGUCUUGAGUACAGUAGAGGUGGGCGGAAUUCGUGGUGUAGCGGUGAAAUGCUUAGAUAUCACGAAGAACUCCGAUUGCGAAGGCAGCUCACUGGACUGCAACUGACACUGAUGCUCGAAAGUGUGGGUAUCAAACAGGAUUAGAUACCCUGGUAGUCCACACAGUAAACGAUGAAUACUCGCUGUUUGCGAUAUACAGUAAGCGGCCAAGCGAAAGCAUUAAGUAUUCCACCUGGGGAGUACGCCGGCAACGGUGAAACUCAAAGGAAUUGACGGGGGCCCGCACAAGCGGAGGAACAUGUGGUUUAAUUCGAUGAUACGCGAGGAACCUUACCCGGGCUUAAAUUGCAGUGGAAUGAUGUGGAAACAUGUCAGUGAGCAAUCACCGCUGUGAAGGUGCUGCAUGGUUGUCGUCAGCUCGUGCCGUGAGGUGUCGGCUUAAGUGCCAUAACGAGCGCAACCCUUAUCUUUAGUUACUAACAGGU